AAAGUCGUAACAAGGUUUCUUGGGGAACAACACCUGCUUGAAGCCUUGGAUACCAGUCUACUUAUAUAGGCAACAUCUUCAAUAUGCUUGGAUACUGUCAUGGUAACAUGCAGCUGCUGAUACAGUUCACAGAUCAAACGAAGGUGGUCCAAAAACAAACCUGUCUUGGAUUCAGAUAUGACCGGCCUACUUCUGAAAAGGCUGUAGACCAUGUGUUCCGUAGGUGAACCUGCGGAAGGAUCAUUACAGAGAAAUUGCCCCUUGGGGUAGAUCUCCCACCCUUUGUUUACAUUACCUUUGUUGCUUUGGCAGGCCUGUCUUUUGACUACCGGCUUAGGCUGGUCUGUGCCUGCCAGAGGACCCUAAACUCUUGAUUUUUGUGUUGUCUGAGUAAUAUAAACAAAUAAGUUAAAACUUUCAACAACGGAUCUCUUGGUUCUG
rnacentral:misc_RNA from 1 species